UACGAAGGGGGCUAGCGUUGCUCGGAAUCACUGGGCGUAAAGCGCACGUAGGCGGCUUGCUAAGUCAGGGGUGAAAUCCUGGAGCUCAACUCCAGAACUGCCUUUGAUACUGGCGAGCUUCGAGUCCGGGAGAGGUGAGUGGAACUGCGAGUGUAGAGGUGAAAUUCGUAGAUAUUCGCAAGAACACCAGUGGCGAAGGCGGCUCACUGGCCCGGUACUGACGCUGAGUGAGCGAAAGCCAGGGGAGCAAACGGG
rnacentral:rRNA from 1 species